CAAUAUUCCUAUUCACACGACACAGAUGCCGAGAUGGUGGUGAGGGAGUUUUUCACAUGCCACAGCCAAACAGCUAGGAUCUCAUCCAGUUGGUGUCCACUGCACGACUGUUCAAGUUGUCCCUGCACCUCGCGGUGAGUUGAAGAGAGCCAAAAGUUUCCUCCCUGUGCAAUUUCCCACAUUGUUCAUUUUACUCCCACCACAUCGGCUAUCCAGCUCCAAAAUCAAAAUGCAUGAGACCAGCAACCUUAUAAUCACCUAUAUGAUCCUCCUUCUUCUCCUGGGACUUCUCUACAUGCUAUACGCAGGGGUCUUCUAAGAUCAUAGCAAUAUCCUGAUGCUUAGAACAUGUAAAACUCACCGACUCAUCCCGUAAUUCUUUCAUCGCUAUUCCAUGGAUAGUCCUACUCACUUCAAAAUGAAAGAAAAAAAACUACAAAAAGGACAAAAAAUGAUGUAGUUGAAGGAGGGUGGGCGAAAUUCGCCACUACUACCCAUGGAAAUGUCCAAUCAUCAUCCUCAUAUUAUUUAUAAUCAAGCACAUUUACCAAUUUUUUUUGCGACGUAAUCCUCUAAUACUCUGAAAAAUUUGGUGAUUUCGUACUAACAAUUUGUGUCUAGAAACUUAUCAAAUCAUACUUAACAUUUUAAUAACAUUGAAACACCAAUAUUAAUUCUAUCCAAAUUUGCUAAAAUCAAACUUUUGAGAAUAAAAAAAAUUAAUUAAAAAUUAUUUUUGGAACAUGUAACUCAUUUGCGGAUCCUAUCUUAUGUAUAAAAAAACAUUUCUAAACAGCUAGAUGCAGCAUCUCACAACCAUGUCAAAACGAAUUAUGUUGAAUUUUUAUUUGUUAAUAUAUAAUCUAUAUAUGUUAUCUUGUCAUUAGGAUAAUUAAGGCAUAUUUUUAAAAUAUGUUAGUUAUUUUUAGAUCUUAGAUUUUAAAUUUUAAAUAUGGGAGACUCUUAGAUUAUCUUUACUUUUAUUACUAAGAGAAACAAAAAAACAUGUCACUUUUUUGGAGGGAAGAAAGAAAAAGAAUGUUUAAGAAGCAUUUAAGAAAAGGAAUAUAUAUACAUAUACAAGUAUAUUUUAUAAGAAUAUUGUUUACAUAUUGCUAAGAGAAGCCAAUAAAAAUAUAGCUAUUUAUUCUUAUUGUAUAAAAGAAUAAAAUGAGAAGUGAUGAAAGAAGAGUUCUGUGUACGACGAAAUUCAUUAUGAAAAACCUUUUUUUUUUUGAAAAUUGAAUUUCAAAUAAAAGCGGCUUGAUGUCUGAAA